rnacentral:rRNA from 1 species
AGCGGGAGCAAGAACUAACACGGAUUACCUCAGUAACGGCGAGUGAAGCGGGAACGGCUCAAUUGGAAAUCUCCGUUGCUUUGCAGCACGGCGAAUUGUAAUUUCGAGAAGCGCGUUCUCGGCGGACCGGGCGCGCCUAAGUUGCUUGGAACAGCACGUCGCAGAGGGUGACAACCCCGUCUGUGGCGAGUCCGGCCGCUCACGAUGUGCUUUCGAAGAGUCGGGUUGUUUGGGAAUGCAGCCCAAAAUGGGUGGUAAACUCCAUCUAAAGCUAAAUACGGGCGCGAGACCGAUAGCGA